CAGAGACCAGACCCUGCUGAACGUGGACCUGAACCUGAACCCAGCUGUGUGUCCAUGGAGAGUCACCGCUACUUUAAAAAAGAAGGCGACCUGACCUCGAGUGGUGAAUAGAAAUGGAGGAGAGGCUACUUGAAAUGGAGGAGAGAGGAUUGAUGGAGAGACUUGAAUGGCAGAAGGAGAGAAUAGCAAUGGAGAGUGAAAUUGAAAUGUUAAGAAGAAGAUUGAGGACCCAGCAGAAACCAGAGUCUCCUGAACCUGGACCUGGAUCUGAACCUGGACCUGGAUCUGAACCUGGACCUGGAUCUGAACCUGGACCUGGACCCAGCUGUGUGUCCUUUAAGAGUGACCAGUCAAAAUAUCGCCUCAUUGAAUUUAAAGGACAGCAACCCUCUGCUGAAAAGAGGAUCCAUCAAAGACCAGACUCUGCUGAACCUGGACCUGGACCUGAACCUGAACCUGAACCUGAACCCAGCUGUGUGUCCUUCAAGAGUGACCGGUCAAGUCAUCGCCUCAUUGACUUUAAAGGAGAGCAACCCUCUGCAGAAAAGAGGUAAGCUGUUAAUAAUAUUAUAAUAUUGCUGAUUCAUGUUUCUUUUAUUUAUCCAG
rnacentral:lncRNA from 1 species